rnacentral:piRNA from 1 species
UAGCAACUGUUCUAGCCUAUCUGCUC